GAAGCUUAAAUCGAGUCCCGAUUCAAAUCUCAAAUAUACAACCUUGGCGACUACUCCAGAACGCGGUUUAUGUGUGUGGAUUUUAAACCGCUUCUUUUGUUUAAGUUGACCGUUUUUUCAAUGUCGAACGCAGUGGGCACUGCGUUCGACAUACAAAUACAAGGCGACAUAGUUGGCGUGAUCACCAUUGGAGACGAGAGACGCCUCUUCGGAUUGAUGCUAAAGCAGCUACUAAGCUAGCUGCUACUGUAAUGGCCACUAAGCCGAAGGGGAAACUGUCUAAAAGCUCACUCGGAGAUGACAGAAUUUUCGGCAGCUCAUUUGAUGAUGACAUACUGCCGGUAAGAAGGAAAUCAGGACGGGGUGGAUUACUACACAGGUAAGUUUGAUACAUUACUACAUACAUGACCCUUAAUGUUUAUGUGCAGUUUAUGUGAUUUAAAGGGGAACUGCACUUUUUUGUGGGGAAUUUUGCCCAUUGUUCACAAUCAAUAUGAAAGACAAGAAGAUACUUUUUUUUUUUGCAUUCUAACAUGUAAAAAUCGGCUCAUUCUAGGUGGCUAGCAAUGCAGCUAAUGGUAGCAAUCAAGUCUACCUCGAAAUCACUUUAAAAAUUAUUUAGAAAACUGUCAACAAUACUUAAUUUACGGUCCGUAACCUGUGUAAUAACCAAGCUGUGGCUACAUUGUUAU